rnacentral:rRNA from 1 species
AUGGAGAAAAUUUUCUUAUGCAGCUACCUCAGCUCUAUCCGUUAUGCUCAACUUCUGACUACAAAAUAUAUUAUUAGAGAAAAGGCUCCUGUGGAUGUCUCUGUCCAGGCUCAGCAGGGUAAGGACCGGCCGCCGAAUCCUCCUUGGGUGCCACCAUCAGUGAAUUGGCUCGCUUUGUCAGUCGAUGGACCAUUUUGCCAAGAGGAAGGAUCAGUUGGUGCGGGGCUUCACGUUGUCUUGCUAAUUAUGCUUGUACGACAUGUAGCACCGCCUGUUGGUUGCAAUGUGGCCCCCUUUCACUCAUGA